rnacentral:rRNA from 1 species
UACGGAGGAUCCGAGCGUUAUCCGGAUUUAUUGGGUUUAAAGGGUGCGCAGGUUGUUUGAUAAGUCAGUGGUGAAAGUCUGUCGCUUAACGGUAGGAUUGCCAUUGAUACUGUUGGACUUGAAUAUGGAUGAGGUAGGCGGAAUGUGUAGUGUAGCGGUGAAAUGCAUAGAUAUUACACAGAACACCGAUCGCGAAGGCAGCUUACUAAUCCAUCAUUGACGCUGAGGCACGAAAGCGUGGGGAUCAAACAGGAUUA